UGAUCAGGAAGCUGCACUUUUUGGGGGGAAUUUUGUCUAUCAAUCGCAAUGUUUAUUUAAGAGAGGAAGACAUGUUUUUUUUUUGUUUUUUUUGUGCAUUUUAACCAGUAAAUAAACACCAGCAAAAGUCAGCUAACAAUGGAGCCUAUGAAGCACUCUAAGGAAUCACCCAAAAACAUCAACGUUUUACACCGACACUCAGAUGGCACCAUUAUGAAACACGGUAUCAGUGCAGCCGGUGAGUGUGCCACACGCUCACUGAGGCGUCUUUUCCCCAUCACUUGACCAAAUCUGGCAGUUUAAACUUCUUUUGAAGGAGAGUACAGCCUGACCAUGUAAGGAGGUGUUCGUGUGGAAGUGACUGGGACGACAACAGAUGUACAUCAUAACUUGCAAGUUGACGUCGUCACGUCAGGGUCGCAUCUUACUGUGUGGGUCGUUCUCCCAAGAUGCAGAUGGAACUCUGGACGAAGCGUGCAGCGAGAACAUCAGCUUCCAAAUCCAACCCGACAGUGAAAGCGCUAGGUGUCCGCCAUCUGCACGCGUGACCCCGCCAAAUGCCUCCUCCUCGCCGUCAUCAUCAUCAUCAUCAUCAGCGGCACCAGUCAAAGCCGCAUCAGUCUCCAUCUGUCGUUGCCCGAGUUCUUGUCUUGUGGUCGAAUUCUAUUCCGUGUUGUUCCUGAUGGAGGAGCAGUACAGCCAAGACGCUACUUCGCUAUUUUCCUUGCUUGUGCGCCGUCGUUCAUCCGUCCAUCUGGCUGCUUGCGUCGUCAGAUGGCAGAUCUGAUGCGGCCUUCGCAUCCUGCGGUCUUUUGCUUCCAGGAUUUCUUAUGUUAUCUAAGCUCCGAGUCCAGCCGGUGAAAAAAAUAUUAAAGCUGCUUUUA